rnacentral:rRNA from 1 species
UACGUAGGGUCCGAGCGUUGUUCGGAAUUACUGGGCGUAAAGCGCACGUAGGCGGAUCUUUAAGUCAGGGGUGAAAUCCCGAGGCUCAACCUCGGAACUGCCUUUGAUACUGGGGAUCUCGAGUCCGGGAGAGGUGAGUGGAACUGCGAGUGUAGAGGUGAAAUUCGUAGAUAUUCGCAAGAACACCGGUGGCGAAAGCGGCUCACUGGUCCGGUUCUGACGCUGAGGCGCGAAAGCGUGGGGAGCAAACAGG